AAGAGUUCGUUUCCGGUUUUCUGCGAUUGCUGGUGGGAGGUGAGGUGAUAUAUCUAAUAUAAAGCCAGUAUAAUUCAGUGGAGCCUCUCUAGCAGCAGGAAAAUAAAUACAACUAUGUGUGUUAGACAUAUACUCUUUCUAUUGAAUCUGAUGAAUGUCUACAACUUGGUGUCAGAGAGGACAUUAUUGGAUUGAGAGUUGUUCCUGUUUAUAAGAAUGUAGGUCCUGCAUCAUGGCCUGAAUGAUACGAAGCUUAGCUGAGACUUGAUCAAUCACCAUCAUUUCUUGUUGUGCUAUUACUUGCAAAGGAAAGAUUGUGAAAACAAUGGGAACUAAAGGAAAUAUAACAUUAUUGAACUUUUUUGUCUUCAAUGCCACUUAUGGAGCAAGGGAAGGCGAGGAAGAAAAGAAGAUUAUGUUUUAUCAUCCAAAAUCAAAUGAUCUUGAUACGAGGAUAAAACAAGUUGGCCUUUGUGAAGCUGUUGUCAAAUUCACAGAGACAUUUUCUGACAAGCCGUGUAAUAGUAUACAUACACAGAAGACAAGGCAGUUGUUCUAUGAACCAGAGCCAGAGUUUUGGAUGGUCAUGACUGUCAGUAUCCCUUUCUCGGAGAAGAACAAAGACAACAACACAUACCUGGAAUACCACGAAGAGGAUGUGCAGGAUACUGUGUUUGAUGCUAUAAUGAGACAGGCCUACAGAAUGUUUCAGUUAUUUAAUGGUUCCUUUACCAACAUAUUAGCCAAGUCUAACAAUGACAUAAAGGCCUUACAAGUUCGACUGGAGCAUUUCUACACAAGGUAUUUGCAGACACUUAAGUUAGGUUCUGCAGACAUAUUGGAUAUAUUUUGUGGGAUUCAUUUUAUGCCAUUAGACAAAAACACAUAUCUGCGGGUACAGUGUUUUAUCAACCUACUGGAGGCCAUGUUUCCUGCUGUCAAGUACACAGCCUUCCUGUACAAUGACCAGCUUGUGUGGAGUGGCUUAGAACAGGAUGACAUGAGGAUUAUGUACAAGUAUUUAACCACAAGUCUGUUCCCCACAUACCAGGACCAGGAGCUCCAGAACAGCAGUGUGUCUCCAAGCCGAGUCCCCUCACCAGCAAACACUGCAGUGCACUACGGCAAAUACAUCACUGGACCCCCAAAUGUGCGGGAUGAGACGAACCUAGGAAAGAUUCCCCUGGUGUAUAUGAACACUGAGGUAGAAAAUGAGGAGUGUCACCUCCUUGUCUACAGAGCUCACAAUGCCAGUGUCUGUAUGCUUAUUAAUGUGUCCGUCCAAUUGAACUUUGAUCUCUGUCGAAAGCUGGAUAUAUUCUUGGGACCACAGCUUACACAGAUUGCAUCAGAUAUAGGAGAACAAUAUUCCAAACGGCCAAAUAACAGUGGUGAUCCUUUGUGCAAAUAUAUCUACUUCAACCACAUGAACUUGGCUCAGAAAUCCACGGUUCACUCUGACAAGAAAUCCAUGCCAGUCCAGAUCCCAGUGGAGACCCUCCGACUUCUCAGUGAUAUCAGCUCUGACAUGUCCAGAUGCAGUGAAGAUGGAGAAACCAUUGUGAAAACAACAGGGGACAGUUGGGUUGUUGGGAAAAAAUCGGACCAAAGAGAAUUCUACGUAGUGAUCAACCAGAAAAAUACAAAUCUUAUAGAAAUUAAUGAUGAAGUGAAGAGGCUUUGUGCAAGCAACUUCAACAGUAUCUUCUUUUUGGACUAGAUUUGUAGGAAGUCGGGAUAGACUUUUCUAAUACCAGUGGUCAUGAAUAAACACAGAUUCAGGGGACUAACUUUUUAUAACGCCUGUGGGUAUUUUACACAGAUGUGGGGGACUACCUUUUCUAACGCCUGUGGGUAUUAUACACAGGGGUGGGGGACUACCUUUUCUAACGCCUGGGGGUAUUAUACACAGGUGUGGGGGACUCCCUUUUCUAACGCCUGUGGGUAUUAUACCCAGGUGUGGGGGACUACCUUGCCUAAAGCCUGUGGGCCUUAUACACAGGUGUGGGGGACUACCUUUUCUAACUCCUGUGGGUAUUAUACACAGGUGUGGGGGGACUACCUUUUCUAACGCCUGUGUGUAUUAUACACAGGUGUGGGGGACUACCUUUUCUAAUGCCUGUGGGUAUUAUACACAGGUGUGGGGGACUACAUUUUCUAACGCCUGUGGGUAUUAUACACAGGCGUGGGGGACUACCUUGCCUAAAGCCUGUGGGCCUUAUACACAGGUGUGGGGGACUACCUUGUCUAACGCCUGUGGGUAUUAUACACAGGUGUGGGGGGACUACCUUUUCUAACGCCUGUGUGUAUUAUACACAGGUGUGGGGGACUACAUUUUCUAACGCCUGUGGGUAUUAUACACAGGUGAGGGGGACUACCUUUUCUAACGCCUGUGUGUAUUAUACACAGGUGUGGGGGACUACAUUUUCUAACGCCUGUGGGUAUUAUACACAGGUGAGGGGGACUACCUUUUCUAACGCCUGUGUGUAUUAUACACAGGUGUGGGGGACUACCGUUUCUAACGCCUGUGGGUAUUAUACACAGAUGUGGGGGACUACCUUUUCUGACGCCUGUGGGUAUUAUACACAGGUGUGGGGGACCACCUUUUCUAACGCCUGUGGGUAUUAUACGCAGGUGUGGGGGACUACCUUUUCUAACUCCUGUGGGUAUUAUACACAGGUGUGGGGGACCACCUUUUCUAACGCCUGUGGGUAUUAUACCCAGGUGUGGGGGACUACCUUGCCUAAAGCCUGUGGGUAUUAUACACAGGUGUGGGGGACCACCUUUUCUAACGCCUGUGGGUAUUAUACACAGGAGUGGGGGACUACCUUUUCUAACGCCUGUGGGUAUUAUACACAGGUAUGAGGGACUACCUUGUCUAAUGCUGUUGAUUAUUAUACACAGGUAUAUAGGGCUAGUUUUUCUAACACCUGUUGAUAAACACAGGCAUGAGGAUAUUAAAGUGAUUUUAAUCUUGUCUGGUACUUUGACAUUGAUACGUCGGUAUGAGUACAUAUCAUCUGAGUCACACCUUACUAUGCUGGUGAACAUUACUACCACAAAAACUCGGGAGAAGGAAUUCCUGUUUCACAAAAAAUGAGAAUAUGUGCUAAUUUUAGUCAUGUUCUCACCUGGAUAGUGAUAACUCUGAACGAAUCAUGUUUCAUCACACUUGUUUAUUGUGUCAGUGACUUUUACUCUCAUUGUUAUCUUAUUAAAUUAUUUUAUACAUGA
rnacentral:misc_RNA from 1 species